GAUGAACGCUGGCGGCGUGCCUAAUACAUGCAAGUCGAGCGAACAGACGAGGAGCUUGCUCCUCUGACGUUAGCGGCGGACGGGUGAGUAACACGUUGAUAACCUACCUAUAAGACUGGGAUAACUUCGGGAAACCGGAGCUAAUACCGGAUAAUAUAUUGAACCGCAUGGUUCAAUAGUGAAAGACGGUUUUGCUGUCACUUAUAGAUGGAUCCGCGCCGCAUUAGCUAGUUGGUAAGGUAACGGCUUACCAAGGCGACGAUGCGUAGCCGACCUGAGAGGGUGAUCGGCCACACUGGAACUGAGACACGGUCCAGACUCCUAAGGGAGGCAGCAGUAGGGAAUCUUCCGCAAUGGGCGAAAGCCUGACGGAGCAACGCCGCGUGAGUGAUGAAGGUCUUCGGAUCGUAAAACUCUGUUAUUAGGGAAGAACAAAUGUGUAAGUAACUAUGCACGUCUUGACGGUACCUAAUCAGAAAGCCACGGCUAACUACGUG
rnacentral:rRNA from 1 species